CCUUCCAAGAGGGGCGCCAGCAGGGGCCUCCCGCCCGGUGUCCUCAGAGCCAACGGAACGAGACUCAGCUGCUUUAAAAAGCAAAUGAGAGUCUGUCUUCGACAAACAUACGACAUGCGAGCUCCAGCUCCAGAGCGCACGCUCUCCCAACAGGCUGUGCGCGGCCCUUUGACUGGCAGCCGGGAAGGGGCGGAGUUCUCGCGAGGCUCUGGACCCGAGUCUCGCGUGCAGCGUCUGCACACGGCCCCCGCCGCCAUCUUGAUUGCGUUGGGGAACCCGGUACAGUGCUGCCCACACAGCCAGGCUGCUGAAGGGCCUGAAGUUCCAGUCCCUCCAAACACACUUGCUCAUUCCCAGCCUCAAAGAAGACACCACCCUGACACCCAUGGUCACUCGCGAGAGAUGCUGAGGAGCCUCCCAAACCAGAAUCAUCUUGGAGCUUUGUCCUCUAUUCUGUAGAUGAGCCAGCAUCCGCUGUACCUCCUCAGUGGUCAUGUACGGAUGUGAGAGUUGGACUAUAAAGAAAGCUGAGCACCAAACAAUUGAUGCUUUUGAAUUGUGGUGUUGGAGAAGACUCUUGAGAGUCCCUUGGACUGCAAGGAGAUACAACUAGUCCAUCCUAAAGGAGAUCAGUCCUGGGUGUUCAUGGAAGGACUGAUGUUGAAGUUGAAACUCCAAUACUUUGGCCACCUCAUGCGAAGAGCUGACUCAUUUGAAAAGACCCUGAUGCUGGGAAAGAUUGAAGACAGGAUGAGAAGGGGAUGACAGAGAAUGAGAUGGUCAGAUGGCAUCACUGACUCAAUGGACAUGAGUUUG
ensembl:lncRNA